rnacentral:lncRNA from 1 species
CUGGUCUGAAAAGGGAGACCGCAUGCACCUUACUGCACCCCCUUCCCACCCCAUCCCUCCUCUGCAUAAGGAAAUGGCCCAGGAACCUCUGCCUGCAUCAUCUGUGUCCCGCUCUGAGACAGUGCGUGCCUCGCUCAUAGACCUUCCCCACUCCCGGGGCUGCUGGAGCCCAGCUCUUGGGCCUUCUUGGGACCACCUUCUUCCCUGAAGCCUGGUGCAAAGGAGAGACAAGGUCUCACUCAGAAUCCGAUUCUGUCCUCCAGCCUGGAGUAUGUGGUGCAAUCCCAGAUCUCUGCAGGCUUGAGCUCCUGGGCUCAAGCGAUCCUCCUGCCUCAGCCUCUCAAGUAGAUGGAACUACAGCUAUGGCACAGCAGCCCUGGAAUGACAACCGGAGACUUUGUGCUUGCAAAAGCUUAUCCUUCUUUGCUGGGAGUUCUGGGAUAACGUAGGUCGGAUCAGAAAACGCCAUAUGCUAGUUCACAGGGAAUUUCCAAAGAGCAGCUAGCUCCAGUUGGUUGCUAAGAGACAGCUCCACAGCUGGACUUUGGCUGCAAAAUUUGAACAAAAAAAGAAGAGCACAAAUGAGCUUGCCAGGGCUUUAGCUUCCACUGUUGAUCACUGCCUAGAUUCACCACUUUAUUAAUGGCUCAGAAGAUAUUGCUUUCUAAAAUUCUGCUAUGUUUAUCAACAUCUGGAGUAAUGAGUUUAGCACCUGCUACCUCCAGUAAGUACUGAACAAUAUGACUUUAAAUUAUCUUUUGAAUGCAUAGAUUUUUAUAUAUUUGAUUGUUUCAGUCUGUGUCCAUUAGUAUUUUUUUGAUGCUCAAUUUGUUAAUUUUAGGCUAAGGGGAAUUCUAUUACUAGGCCCCUCCAUCUUUCUCACCUGGCAUCUCCUAUUUUAUGUGACAAAAAUAUGUCCCAGAAUCAUUUUGUACAUUUACGUGCCUGGAAUUGGUCAUUACUCAAAAAAAGCCCUGGC